AUACUUUGGUUUCUCUUCUGAUCGAAUAAAGCUUUCGCCUUUACUAAAGUUUUCUGUGGAGAGACUCAUACAUGAGUUUUCUAAAAAAAAUUGAGGCUCUGCCCCUUGCAGGGC